rnacentral:rRNA from 1 species
AGUGAACGCUGGCGGUAGGCCUAACACAUGCAAGUCGAACGGCAGCACAGUAAGAGCUUGCUCUUACGGGUGGCGAGUGGCGGACGGGUGAGGAAUACAUCGGAAUCUACUUUUUCGUGGGGGAUAACGUAGGGAAACUUACGCUAAUACCGCAUACGGCCUACGGGUGAAAGCAGGGGAUCUUCGGACCUUGCGCGAUUGAAUGAGCCGAUGUCGGAUUAGCUAGUUGGCGGGGUAAAGGCCCACCAAGGCGACGAUCCGUAGCUGGUCUGAGAGGAUGAUGAGAGACACGGGAAAUGAGAGAAGGUCCGGGCGACGAGGGGAGGCAGAAGUGGGGAAUGGUGGAGAAUGGGCGGAAGGUUGAUCCAGCAAGACCGAGAGGAGGAAGAAGGCAUUUGGAGUGUAAAGUUCUGUUAGUGGGAAAGAAAAGAAGCAGGUGAAGAUAUGGAUGUAGGGACGGGAAAUAAAGAAAAAGCAAAGGCUAACUGAGUG